rnacentral:rRNA from 1 species
GACGAACGCUGGCGGCGUGCUUAACACAUGCAAGUCGAACGGAAAGGCCCUGCUUUUGUGGGGUGCUCGAGUGGCGAACGGGUGAGUAACACGUGAGUAACCUGCCCUUGACUUUGGGAUAACUUCAGGAAACUGGGGCUAAUACCGGAUAGGAGCUCCUGCUGCAUGGUGGGGGUUGGAAAGUUUCGGCGGUUGGGGAUGGACUCGCGGCUUAUCAGCUUGUUGGUGGGGUAGUGGCUUACCAAGGCUUUGACGGGUAGCCGGCCUGAGAGGGUGACCGGCCACAUUGGGACUGAGAUACGGCCCAGACUCCUACGGGAGGCAGCAGUGGGGAAUAUUGCACAAUGGGCGGAAGCCUGAUGCAGCAACGCCGCGUGCGGGAUGACGGCCUUCGGUUGUAAACCGCUUUCGCCUGUGACGAAGCGUGAGUGACGGUAAUGGGUAAAGAAGCACCGGCUAACUACGUG